rnacentral:sRNA from 1 species
UACGCGAUCCCACGCGGUUUUAUCUUGC